rnacentral:misc_RNA from 1 species
GACGGAGGGUGCAAACGUUGUUCGGAAUCACUGGGCGUAAAGGGCGCGUAGGCGGACUUGUAAGUCAGGAGUGAAAUCUCGGGGCUCAACCCCGAGCCUGCCUCUGAAACUGCGAGUCUUGAGGACCGGAGAGGGAAGUGGAAUUCCUAGUGUAGCGGUGGAAUGCGUAGAUAUUAGGAAGAACACCAGUGGCGAAGGCGACUUUCUGGACGGUUCCUGACGCUGAGGCGCGAAAGCUAGGGGAGCAAACAGG